rnacentral:misc_RNA from 1 species
AAAACUUGACCUGAAGUAGCAAACCACAUACAAAGUUAUGGGCACUAAAGUUCAAUGUUAUUUAAAAUGUUCCAAGGUGCUACACAUUCCUAAAGCUAAAGAAAUUAAUUUCGGCUAUUGAUAAGAAGCAAGUGUCACAUAAAUUUGCCACUCUUUUUUAUGCACAGCACCAAACUAAAAGAAACCAAAAUGAAGAACAAAAUCAAACAUAAAAUGUUAGGAACAGAAAAUACACUAAGAAUUACUAAAUGGCAAAAAAAGUACUCACGUGCACAUUUGGCAUCUAGGUAUGGUUGUGACUUGAAUAAAAGAAAUCACAUAAAAUAGUUUUAUACCUGGUUUGAAGAAUACAGAAAGCCCAAAAUCAAUGGCUUUUAGUGAAAAGUCAUCAUCCUUGUUCACCAACAAGAAAUUCUCUGGCUUUAGAUCUCUAUGCAUAACCCCAAGUGAAUGACAUGACUCAACAACACCUACAAUAAUCUUGGUCAAUUCAGCUGCUUUCCUCUCACUAUAAUGGCCCCUCUGGAUGAUUCUAUCAAACAACUCUCCGCCAGAGCAAAGCUCCAUAACAAUAUGCACGUACAAUGAAUCCUCAUAAGCUCCCUUAAUAGUUACAAUAUUCUUGUGACCAGCCAAAUGGUGCAUUAUCUGAAUCUCCCUGCGAACAUCCUCAACAUCCUCCUUGGAAAUCAAUUUCCUCUUGGAUAUAGACUUACAGGCAUAUUCAAUCCCUGUAGAAUUCUCAAUGCAUAAAUAAGUAGUCCCAAAUUGUCCUUGUCCUAAUUUACGGCCUAAAGUGUAAAGAUCACGAAUGUUUGCAGUUUUAUGACCCAAAACAUAAUAAGAUUGAGUAUCAACACCACGCCUCAUAAUUAAAUCUUUUUUUUUGGGGCUAACGAUAGGUAAAUUGUUAUCCUUUAUGGAGUUUUCCUUGGAAAAUUCUUGAGCAGCGAGGGUGGAAGGAGAAUGUUCAGAGUUGGAAUUGUCAGAGGAAGGAUUGCGCUUGGUAUGGGAAGCCGUGGAUUGUUCCUCGGGCUGAGUGUAGCCCUGAUAAAGUUUCCCUUUGAAAGAUCCGCGGCAUGUGUUGCCCAUGAAACAGUCAAAGUUUUGCUCACGGCCUUCUCUUCAUUUAAUGAUUACUCAUCAAUACCACUGACAAAAAUGACUGAAAUGAGCUAAAAAUGAGAGAGAGAUAGAAGGAAAGGGAAGAUGGUGGGGGGGAGGGGAAGAGGGAAUGAUCUGUGAGUUGCAGCUAAAAGGAAGAAAUGGAUCUUCUUAUGUUAUUAAUGUUUGAAUAUUAUGAACAGGCCUUACAUCUUCUUCAUCUUCUUGUUUUUGUUCUUGUUUUUAUUAUAGGGCUGCUCUUGCUGAGAAACAUCGGAUGAGAGUGCUGACCAGCUCUCUUCCUUUU